UACGUAGGGUGCAAGCGUUACUCGGAAUUACUGGGCGUAAAGCGUGCGCAGGCGGUUCGCUAAGGCAGGUGUGAAAUCCCCGGGCUUAACCUGGGAACUGCAUUUGUGACUGGCGGGCUAGAGUAUGGGAGAGGGGGGUAGAAUUCCACGUGUAGCAGUGAAAUGCGUAGAGAUGUGGAGGAAUACCGAUGGCGAAGGCAGCCCCCUGGGCCAAUACUGACGCUCAUGCACGAAAGCGUGGGGAGCAAACAGG
rnacentral:rRNA from 1 species